GCAGUAUAACCAGUAGGGACACUCAGCGAAAAAAUGCGUGUUCGCGCAGGUAUGGCUGCGCAGCUUUUGUUUUGGGCCGGAUCCAAUGAAAUGCAAGAUGAUAAGAACGUACAUAUUACACAGAUCCCGUGUGAGCAGAUAUCCGUGGCAAAAGAAGACAAUUUAAGAGCUGCGCCUUAAAUAUUUCUAAAAAAAAUGGAUAAAAAAAGAAAAGUUAUGUUAUGUGCAGUAUUAAACAAUGCAGUAAUAAUAAUAAAAAUUCACAAUGCACUUUUUUUCGUUAUCCCAAAGAUAUCGAAAGAGCAAAACAAUGGACUAUCGCAUGUCUUCGAGAAGAUCUUACAUCUGAACCGCACUUAUUGGAUAACAAGUGUUAUAGAGUUUGUAGCAAUCAUUUUGAAAAUAUCAUGUUUACAAACUAUUUAAGAAAUAGGUUGUGUCAUAACGAUUCCAACUUUAAAAAUAACAAAUAUUGGAAAUGAUGAGAACACUUAGAAUAAUGCAGGUUUAUCAGUAUCUUCACAAUCAUGUAAUAGAAUUUUGAAAACACACA